rnacentral:lncRNA from 1 species
UUUUAAGUAUAAAUAGAGGGGUGUGGGACUUGUAGUUUGGCGUUGGAACGACGAUAAAACUCAAUUCGUACACUGAGGUAUAGUCCAAAUACUACAGAAACACACUAGCUCGAAUUCUGCUACGAUACAGGUUAUCGUAAAUGCUGUGUAAUUACAGUAGAUUGGAGUAAGAGUUGGAUACGGCAUUGAAAGGCUUCAAGAAGUGGCUUAUU